UUAAUCGAAACCAAAUAGAGGUGAAUCACUGUUAAUGAUUCAAUUGAGACGUCCGAUUAAU
rnacentral:tRNA from 1 species